AGCGGCGUGGCUCAGUGGGAAAGGGCACGGGCUGGGGAGUCGGAGGUCGGGGGUUCGAAUCCCGCCUCCGCCA
rnacentral:tRNA from 1 species